CUGGGGUGGUUAAAAACAUAAUCACUGACCCCUCCCCAAGUGAGUAAGGGAAGGGGACCAGGGAGCUCCUGGCCCAGGGAGAAGGAGGCCCUGGGAAAGGGACAGCAUGAGGGACAAGAGCUUACUGCUCUCUGAAGGGGACCCGCACAAGAACACGAGUUGAUAGGAUCUCCAAACAGCACGAGGGAUGGAGGAGGAGAAUAUGGGAGGUGCAGAGGAGAGGCGGUAGGCCCCGCGGCCACUUAGAAGGCGGAAGCGUGUCCGGGCUGAGAUGAGAAUCCGCAAGGACUGACAGGUUGGGACCAGGCGGCGGCCAGGGAGCUGGGAGCCGGCAGGUUGAAUCUCAAACCUCCAUCGGUCUGGAUAGAGAGACUCUAAGCAUGAGGCUGCUCCGGUUUUCCUCACUGCCCAGCGCCGGCGGUCCAGCGUGGGUGUGGAGAUGCACAGGAAACGGGGGACUCUGAGUCACCCACAUUUUUGAGGGGUGGGGAGGAGCUGGACCUUCCUCACAGAGCUGAGAGAUCGGGGGAGUUAGAGCCAGGCCUGGCUGGAGGGUCGGACGUCUGAGUUGCGUGUGCCAUCAGCAGGGGGGCGUGGCCAGGAGAACAGAGAUAAGCAGAAACCCGCCCAUUUGGUGGCCUAGGGAGGGGGCCGCGGGGCGGGGCCCCCUGUGGCCAGCAGAGGGCGCGCGGGAGGCGGGCCGGCCCUGGAGAGGGCUCCCGCGAGGGCGGCGGCGAGGUGGCGGCGCGGGCCCGGGCGCCCUCUGCCGGGCCGGCCCCGGAAGCCCGGACUCGCCGCUUCCGCAGCGGAGUCUCCCCUCCCGCUCUCCCGCCGCGCGCGCUGGGCUGCGCUCAGAAUCCCCCAGGGAACGGGGGUCCAGCCCUGGAGAAGCCGUCUAGGUCUGGGACAGCCAGUUCUGGGGCCACCCGUCGCAUUGUUGGGCUCCCUCUCCGGCUUCUCGGACCGUUGGCUCUCCAGCUUUUGCUCGAUCUCCUCCGGGGACCCCCCAGCACCCUCAACAUGCAUGUACCUCCUUUCAACCGAACAGGACAGGAGUGCGGCCCCAUUUCACAGGACCUCCCCGGCCGUACCAGUAUCCAAGUACCACGCGCCUGGGCGCGUAGAUGGACUCAGUUUCCUCGGUGGGAAGUUGCACUGCCUCUGUGGUGCCCCUCUGUUUAUGGGAGUUCUGCUCCACCGCACCUAGGUCAUCUCACCCAUCCCCCAGCUUCUGAACAGGAUGCCGCCACAUUCUGUCAUUGAUCUCAAAACUAUUUGAGCGCCUACUAUGCCUCCGGUCCGAGUUCCUCGCCUCAACUCCCAGCCCCUCCGGCGGCUCCCUAGGCUUAGAGGAAGGAGCGGGAGAUCCAGGAGUACCGAUCUCCAGUCCAGGGCGCAGGGUAAGAGAGCUGAAGGUCGUCGGUGACUGGGUGAAGCCACUGGGGUAGGGCGGGGGUGGGCAGACGCCGGCGGGUCUGGGUGCUCAGGGGCCGCAGAAAGGACACUGCGCCACGCGCCGCUGCCUCCCAGCGCUCGAGCCCAGCGCGGGAUUUCCCAUUCUUAGCGCAAGGAAGACCCCUUGUGGCUGUUGUGAGAAGAGCCGGCGAAGAAAGGAGGCCAGAGCCGGGAGAUGACAGUCCCCUGCCCAGCCUCCCUGCUAUCCUGCCUGGGGUAGGGACUUGUUCCCUAGGGGGCCUUCGUGGCUCGCUAUGCCCAGAAAUCCUCCACCCAUUCCCAUACCAUCAAAACCCAACAACUGGGACUUCGGGAAUAGAGUCUUCUCGCCAAAUCACAAGGAAAAAUAAAACACAAACAGUAGCAAGUGAGACUGUGGUUAGACUCCUGGAAGGACUUCUCUCGAAGCGGCUGGGAAGCAGGAGGAUGGAUUGCGAUGAAGGGAUGAAAGAAGACAGGCUUUCCGACCCUCCCCUUCCCUGGCAGUGGGGAGAGCGUUCUCCGAGUUCUCCGAGGAAUCCUCAGCCCCUGCCCUGCGGCUCCUUCCCGCUCACAGCGAAGGAAGCUCUCCCCAGCCGGGGGCUCAGGUAGUGUCAGCGCCAGGGGCCGUCCCUCUGCCCACCCUUAGGAGGGAUGGGGGGUGCGCAAGGUCAUCGAGGACAGGGACGGGACCCCACGUUCGUCACGAUAGACCGUUGCACUCCUGAGAAGAUGCAUCCCACCCCCACCCGCGUCUGAGCUCCUUUGGGGAGCGGAAGCGCGCUAACAGUGCUGCGCCCCUUCCCCCACCCUUUGACGCUGCUAGCUACCAAGCCCCGGCCCGGGCAAUGCAAAUUUGCAUACAUUUGCAUCCCCAGCUGCGCACAGCUGCAUCCGGCUUUGGGCCAUAAAUUCGUGGCGGGAGGCUCCGGGCGAGCGGGUCCCGCGCCGCCGCCGCGCCUGUUCGCGCCCCGGGGGCCGCGGGUUCUCACGCCUCCCUGAGCAGCCGCCGGCGCUGUCCGGCCCUGCCCCGCCUCGCGCCACCUUCUGGGCGUCUGUCUGCCUCGCAUGCCGCAGCUGCAGCUGCAGCCGCAGGCCAGGCCUGAACCCCCAGAUCCCCCUUUCUCCAUCUCUCCUGGACUCGACCGGGUCAUUGUCUCCUAAAUCUAUUCACGUCUCUCUGACGCCUCGGGCCGGGGGCUUCUGGUCAGAUUUUCGUGCCAGGACUAGUGGUAGCCUUCUAGGUGGCAGUCCUGCCUCCGUGGGUACCUUGCUAGAAAACAGGUCUGAUCAUGGUCAACAGCUUAAAACACUGCAGACCCCCUAGGCUUGCAGAAUAAAGCUUAUAUUGUUCACUCUCGCCAAGAAAAGCCCCUCACGUUCUGCCGCAUUCCUCCUUUCUUUAUCUUCAGUUUUGUCUCCUGCAUCGUAGCCAGACCCAGGCCCACAACAGCCUGUGCUUCAGUUACACAAAAUUGCAGGCGAGUCAUCAGACUCCCCGUGAGCUCUCUCCCUCUGCCUGCCCUUUACCUGCGCCUCGUCUCCACCUGGACCACCCCUCCCUCUUGUCUGUCCUCUGGGGAGAUCUCCCUAAUUUCUCUCACUUUGUUGCUGUGUCCCAGUUCCCACAGAGCUUGGUCCCAGGAGAUGCUCAGAAAUACUGAAUGAGUGAGUGAAUGAAUGAAUGAAGAAUAAAGCUGCAGUUGUCCCAGGCACUAGGAAUAUGACACACAUACAGACACUCAGGGCUCCACUGGUCCCAAGUGGCCUUCACAUGACCUCUGUGAGCCCACAGGAGAGCCCCUCUCCCCGGUCCUUUUGGGUCCUCUCAUACCUCUCCAGGCACCCCCAAGGGGGUGAGGGGUGAGAAGCCAGGAGGAUUAUGAGUGGGGGGAGCUGGCACAGUGACAGAGCACCUGACUCAGAGUCAAGAGGCCUAGGUUCAAACUCUAGUGCUGCAUGACCUUGGAAAAAUUAACUUCCUCUUGCUGAGGCUGUUUCCUCAACUGUCAAAAUGGGAAUAACAUUGACUAUUAAUAGGGAUUUCAUAAUAAUUGAAUGAAAUAGUUCAUGAAAUGUGUACUACCUGUCAAAAAGGGUUGGAUUCCUUGAGGUCCAGACAGACGAUGUGGGGAUCCAUCUUGCCCCCUUCCCCUGGGGAUGAAAGCACCUCCACGAAC
ensembl:lncRNA